UUCUCCUGGGCGAACUCCAGCACAUUAUCAUUAAGUGUGUAAGCCCCAGUGAGUGAAAGACUUCCAUUUUAAAUGGAAAGGAAAACACAUGCUUACCAAAAGGAGAGAAAAAAAAGAAAGUUGGGUGUUUUAUAUCAUACAGAAUUAUUUAACAGAGAAGGUGCCGGGUAGCCUUUUGAAAGGAGAGGAAAUUAUGACUGUUUGGUGGUGUUCUCCAUCUCUUUAUUUUGUGUAAAUUUGAUCAAUGGAGAAAUACAGAGGUGCAGGAUACAGGGAGAAUAAUAGGGAACAAACCAGCUAGACAAAUGGCUCUUGUAAGUUCACAGCUCCUAAAACAGAUGUUCUUUCAAGCUGGCUACAGUAUACUAUUAUCUCCAGAAAUUCCAAAGAUCAAAGAGUCACCACGGAGGUUAAAAACACAGCAUAUUCACCCUGCACAAACUCUGGACCUCAACCUACCACUGUCCACUGAAGGCACCGUUCCAGGCAAAGUUGAGGUGUACAUGGAAACCAGUGAAUUGUCAGUGUGACAAAACACCUGAAGGAAAUCAGCUUAAGGAACAGAGGCUUAUUUUGGCUCAACAGUUGGAAGCUUUUAGUCCAUGGUUCGCUGGCCUCAUUACUUGUAGGCUUGUGGUCAGGCAGAUGUAGAGACCGUGGGAGCAUAGAGCCUGCUAUGUUACAUGCUAACAGCCAGGAGGCAGACACACACAUUCCUGACCUAUUUCCUCCAACUAGGCACCAACCCCCUUAGUUCCUACCAUCUAACAGAGCACCACAGGCUGGCUACAGGUCAUGUCUCUUUCAGCUGUAACAGUCCAUUUUAAAUUACAGGCUUAUGAUUUUUAAAACCGGGUGCAAUUGUUGCAAAUGAAACUGUUUUCAUCACUCACUAAGCAUUUAAUGACUGUUGUAGCUUCUGUCAGAACAAGUGGAAAGAGGCUGAGUAUUGAAAAGGAGGCAACUCAUUUUAGUUCUGUGGCACGCCUACAUUUCUAUGGACAACUCAUUUUAGUUCUGUGGCACGCCUUCAUUUCUAUGGACGACAACUCAUUUUAGUUCUGUGGCACGCCUACAUUUCUAUGGACAUCUCUGUGCCUCCUCUCCCUCUUUACCUCCACCUUCUUAUGCUGCCUCAUUAGACCUACAAUAAAUCCAAUGCCUAAAGAGACGUUUAACUUUUCCUUAGUAAAGAAAAAAUCAGUUUAUUCUAUGUGCCAUUUUCCCAGUGCACGUCAUGUGGUUAAACACAUGGUAACCAAGUUCCCACAGAGUCUAAAAUCUGUAAGACUCGCACAGCUAACUGUAUGAGUUCAAUAUAUAACACUUAAAAAUGACCUACAGGGCCAACUCUUUUCUAAAUGUAUUUACAGGCCAAGCUUUCAUUUAUUCCUUUUUUUCCCCUCCCUAACAUCCUCAGACAUCAGACAUGGUGCUGCUAGCCAGAGUCUGAUCCUGCGCUGUGCUAUCUGCAUGUCUCACAAGGGUGCUUAAAAUGGUAGUUCAUGAAUGUGUUCACUGCCCCUCUUUGGACUCAAAGGACUCUUGCCUUUACCCCUCUCUAGAAAAUUGACAUAUGCCUGUUCUUUGUCCAGAGCCCUGGAGGACUCUGUUCCCUCUCCAGAGAGGAACAGAAUUAUGGAUGGAAACAGAUACCAGCAAAACCUUGAGGGAGGUUGUCAGUAUGUGCGCCAUCUCCUUCAACACAUGGUGGCAUCUCUAAUUUUGCAAAGGAUGUGUCUGUCUGACAUGUGUAUGUGUGCGCGCACGUGCACCUGUCUGAUUUUACUGUGGAAUAUAAGACUUGCCUCUGCUAUAGUUGCCUUAAAUGCUAAUUCAAUGUAGAUACUUCCCUCUUUGCCUGUCAUUUCUGCUCUCUGUGCAUUUAAAAUGGAGCUAGUCUGCCAAGAUGUUCAGAGUCUAGGUGUUCAUAACUCACUCAGGCACUAGAAUCGUCUUGGUAUUAGCCUCUAGUCUUCUCUCUAGGUCUUGUCUCUCUAGCUUCCUCCCUUCCCCUGUUGUUGGCCCAUUCGUAGAGGAAAAGAAAAUGUUGAAAUCAAUGAGAAUAAAUUGCCACAUGGUCUUUAUUGUGGAGCCAAGGUUUCUACGGAAAAAUCCUUGUAAUCAGAGAAGAGGGAAGAUGAGAUUAAACUGAUUAAACUGAGAAAGUCACAAAAGGACAACUUGAAAGAUUAGCCAGCCGGUGCCAGCAAAGCGCAGCUCCGUGUGCAUGCUAAGUGGAAUCGUCCUCCCCACUAUCAGCCCCUCCAUCGGGUGACCUUCGGCUGCAGGAGCACAGAACUGCCUGGUCCAAGGAGAUCCUGGAGACUGAAAAGCCAGAAUGCGGGUGAUUACAGCAGGAAGCAAAACUGCAGAAGCAGAAAACAGUAUGCAGUGUGAGACCAGAUGUUCCAUAUAGCAUUGGUUGGUGCUGUGAUGGUAUCUGCAGAGAAAUGUGUGCAUGCUGUAGAUUCAACCACAAGGAUGCCGUGAAGCCACACUGCCCCGAAGAGGAUUGAGACUUUAAAAAUGACACAGCAUUGUCUAGAAGACUCAAAGAUUCUUCUCCGUGUCUGCUGCUGGCAUGUUUCUGAGCUGCUUCUUACACCAGGAUUUAUAUCAUUGAAAAACAAGCACAUACAGGGUGUGUGGGAUACAGGCCUGAAGAGAGGCAGGCGUGGUCUCUCUAGGGGUUCUGGUCAGAUCCUUGGUGGCAGCUGAGAUUGGAUGCUCAGAGCGCUUACCCUGGAUUGUCGGUUUAUCAUGGUUGGAAUAUGCCAUCAGCUGUGGAGACUAUCAAAGAAGACACUGUUUUCAAAAGGAAACUUCUAAAUGAUUUAUGUGGUGCCACAUCAUGGAAAAAUCCAUUGGCUCAUCCAAAUUCUCUGUCUCACUGUAUUAUUUGCCAACUUUAUAUAAGUUUCUGUUAUUAUUUUACUUCAUUUUGGGAAAUAAUUAUCUUCCCAAAUAUCAGCAUCUAGUCUCUAUAUUUGUGUCUGAUAUAUUAGAAGGGCUUAUAACUGUAUACCUCUACUUAGGACACUCUAGAAUGUUUUCAGAUAAGAGUGUUUUGUCAUAUGAAGACACAAAACAGCAUCAAAGCCAAGUGAGGCUUCCCCGUAUUACCUCAGCAGACAUUUAAAGAAAAUGAUGGCUACAUAGAUGUGCCAUAAAUUGCAUGUUUAAAAAACACAGAAAUCCUAAUGUAUGCCUCCUGCCUCUCUCCUAUCACAUUGCUUUAAAGUCCAGCAUUUCAUAAACUGAAAACCACAGAAACAGAUGUGUUGGCUCAAAUGUUUGAGGGUGUGGUUCUGACAGCUGUGGCACUGAACUUCCUUCUUCCUACAGCAACUGCUUUUCUCCCUACAAGUUUGGACAGCCAGAUAUUUUUAAAGCAUGACUUGUUUCCUUUACAAAAAUGACAUUUCUAAUUUAUACUGAUGCUAUGACAACUUGAUGACAAAACUAGCUUUUGUUAAAGGUUUGAUCGACCCAGAGAUUCAAUUUUGCAAGGUCACUUGCCCUAUGUAAUAUUUAUUUAUCUAUUUCCUUAUUUAUUUAUUCAUUACUAUAGAGAGGUAUCAGCAUCUUGGUAAAGAGUAAAAGAAUAGUAUUCAAGGAAAUUUAAAUGCUAACCCAAAAUAGACUUAUAAAUAUGUUGUUUCCAGAAUGUUUUCCUUCUUCAUAUUCUACCCUAAAGUUAAAAAAAAACAAACACAUAAAAUAGCACCAAUGAGUUAGCUUCUAUCUUCACUGUGGCUUUUCCACCUAGCUAGACAUUGGGUAGAUGGACAUCUGGCAGAAACUGCUGUAGCAGGAAUGUAGAGAACCUAGAGUUACAGCCCGAAAUGCUGAAGCCGGGAGAAGAGCUCAGAGGUAUCACUCCUCUGUUCUAGUAUACAUUAUUCUUUCUAAUUUCACUCAAGAGACGUUGCCAUGUUCUCAGGUUUUAAAUGACCCCCUUAGAGAAAUAAGUGUGUCAGCCUUUCAUAGGAUAGGAGGCAGUCAGGUUGAGCUGCUGAAGCUUUUCCAUGAGAAGUAAGACAAGAUGGUUUGGAAGCGAGUACCAUUUCAGUCCUGUAUCACAAUGACAUCUGUUACAACACAUUAUUAACCAUAAAACCCCACAUGCUGCUUGAAAUGAUACAGGGAAAGAAAAAAUGCUACAAAAUGCAAAUCUUGCAGCUUUUGUCUCAAAGGCUGUAUCAACCAGCUGAUGUUGUAUUUGUUGGUAAAGAAAAUAAAUAUAUUGAAAUGUGA